CCUACGGGGGGCAGCAGUAGGGAAUUUUGCGCAAUGGGGGAAACCCUGACGCAGCAACGCCAUGUGUGGGAUGAAGCAUUUCGGUGUGUAAACCACUGUCGGCAGGGAAUAAAGCCCGUCUUUAUGGCGGGGGUGAAUGUACCUGCAGAGGAAGCCCCGGCUAACUUCGUGCCAGCAGCCGCGGUAAUACGAGGGGGGCAAGUGUUGUUCGGAAUUACUGGGCGUAAAGGGAGCGUAGGCGGGCUCUUAAGUUGGAUGUUUAAAACCGGGGCCCAACCCCGGCGUGGCAUCCAAAACUGGGAGUCUUGAAUGGAACAGAGGCCAGUGGAAUUGGAGGUGUAGCGGUGGAAUGCGUAGAGAUCUCCAAGAACACCAGUUGCGAAGGCGGCUGGCUGGGUUCACAUUGACGCUGAGGCUCGAAAGCGUGGGGAGCAAACAGGAUUAGAUACCCCUGUAGUC
rnacentral:rRNA from 1 species